ncrna:Bacillus sp. FJAT-27251 L31-Firmicutes ribosomal protein leader
CUCUGUCUCGCAUAUGAUUCAGGGCAAAAGGAG